AACGAGCCGACAGCAUCCACUCGUCGCCUCUUGCCCCGCACCGGCAUGGUGGAGGAAUGCCGAUCCACGGAUGGGUCCACCAAGCCGGGGGGCUGCUCCUCUGCUACCUGCCUCUGCAGCCGGCUCCACUCCCCUCUGGUCGGCAGCAGGACGGAGGGAUUUGGGGAUACGCCAGAUGCUACAGGGCACUUAUUCCCAAUUCCCUCCACCGGUCUCUCCCUCUCUGUCCUGCGCCUGGAUGAUGGCCGGAUCCGGAGGGGAGGAGACGAAGCGGAGCGGCCGGGAGAGAGAGCUCAAGCUCGGUGGAGGUUUCCUUCCACAGCCCGCUGAGUGCUGGUGAUGCAGGUGAAAAAGCCUCGGACAAGCAGAGGUUCGUUUUGUAGCCUCAUACAAGUGGUGGAUAUUCCAGUCCGCUUGAUUUGUUGCCUCACCGAAGUUACAGUGCAGGGUGGAAAUUCACUGUAAUCUGAGGGAUAUGUUCAUGGACACGAGUUAAGCCUGCGUCAGAGCCAUUAUAAUUUAGGUUCAAGAUAACAAGAUAAGAAGUAAUACAAUAAUCCCUAUAGCCCACAUAGUUUCAAAGAAGUAAAACAAAUAGUACAUUUAGUAAAAAGGAGUCAAUUGUGUAUAUAUAUAUUGCACACACACACUACUUAAAGUUAUACUACAAUAAAGUUAUAUUCAUUCAUUAAGAUAGACAGGGGCUUGGAAGGGAUGGAAGUCGGUUUACGGUAAGGAGAAGCACGCACGAACAAACACGGACACCCACACGCACGCACGCACGCACACACACACACACACACACACACACACACACACACACACACACACACACACACACACACACACACACACACACACACACACACACACACACUCUGAAUCAAUUGAUGGAGGAAUAAAUACAACAUUUUAACUUAUACCUAUAAUUAUUUGAAAUCUGCAUCUCAAGUAGUGCAAGCAGGCACACACAUACACACGCAAACCACCAGUUUCUGUGCAGUGUAACCAACAUUUUAACUUUAAAAUGUUAAUAAAAUUAAAUGAAGAGUAAAACAGAUCAGAUCUAAAUGGACAAAGUUAAUUCCGAUAAAUCAAACAACAGACACACUUUACGCAGUAGCAACGUGGAAACCAGUUACUUUCCGGUUUAUUUAACUUGUUCAUCUGGUGAAUUUCAUACAUUUUUAUGAGCUCACUGGCCGUAAAAGAAGAAAAAAAAAUCUUUCGGUUCAGACGACGAACUCUUCCAGUUCUCUAACACACUUCAAACCCAACGUGGUCCAUUUCUGCUCGUGCAGCCCCGCGGCUCGUUUGCUCAGUGAGUUUUAUGGAGACACUUGGUCAAGGAGGCGCAGGCUCUCUCUUGUAAGAGCAUUUAGACUUUUUAUGACACAAACCCACUGGCCCAUGCCAAAACAAUGAAUUCCUCUCUCUCUCCACCCCCCAGCAGCCCGGCAGAAUGUGAUUUUACAUGCAAUCCGAGCCUGAAGUGUGUGUGGACAGUGGUGGGGGGAGGGGCUCUCUUCACCUUUCACCCCGCCGUGUUGGAACUGUUUGUAUUUUUUGUGCUUCUUCUCCUGAAUGUGGUUUAACUAAAUGAUCACGAUGGCUUGGAAGCAUUGGGUUGUUCAGGUCAUUUUCACCGAAUGCAUUUUUCAUGUUUCACACUUUUCCCACAUCAGGAGUCUAUGACUCAAGAUUCAAAGAUCUCAUUACACUCAGGUACAAUUGGAUUGCAAGGGGCUUCUCUCAUACAAUCUUCAUCUUGAUACAAGACACUUCACUCUAACAAUUUUCUCCUAACAUAUAUAGAAGCAUAAGCAUGAAAAGCAACAGUACAUAACUAAAUAUAGAAGAUAAAAUACUGAAAAUAAGCAAGUAUUAAACUGAAUUAGAAUCACCCUUACACAAAUACAAGAUUGCUGAUCUAUUAGUCUCAUCUUGGUCUUGGUCUGUCACAACCUUCACAGUGCUUCAAAAUACAGUAUGAUAACUGUCAAAAGCCCUGACAAACACGUGCAGAAUAUAUAGAGAUAAAAUAUAUAAUUUAAUAUAUCUAAAGCUUGGCCUUGUAGCUAUAGGGCAGGACAAUAUGGGUCAAAAAAUGUAUAAAGGUAAAAGUGUUCAUAUCAGUGGUUAUCCAUAAUUAUAAGAAUAAAUGUCAGUUAAUAUUUUUUGUGAAGCAACUUGUAAAGUUUGUAAUUAAUAUUUAUUUUAAGUUUAAAGGCUGAUGUUUGCUCCUGAGUGUAGUUUAAAACUCAUGAGCAGAAAAUGAGACACACUUGAUAAACAGCAAAACCUUUGAUAAAACUGAGGUAGACCACUAAUGUGUUACACCACCGGACUGCGAUUACACAAUCCAUUGGGAAAUAUAUUAUUAUAUAUCAAACCUUUGUUAUUGCUAUUGAUGGAAAAUUCUAUUGCGAUACUUAUUAAUAUUGUUUUAUUGCUCAGUCCUAUACAGCCAAUAAACUGCCUGAAUAAUUAUCACUCAUGUAAGUGUAAUGAAGCAUUUAGGUUAGAGCAAGUGAAUAAUGGUAACCUUAAACUUACUCUAUAGUUGUAUUUGUGCACCAGGAAGACAAUGUGACUCGUGAUAACACACAACUGACACAAACAUUUAGACGUUUGAAUCCAAUAGACACUUGAAGAGGGGAAAAACUUGUGCAAUUGUAUCUGUGAAACACUGUUGUCUUUGUUUCAAUAGCAAAUGAAAGCUUAAAGAAAAAUAGUCUGAAUAUGCUCCGUCAGACUGUGUGAAAAUUGAUUGAGCACAUCACACGACACAUAUUUUCCUGAACUUAACACAUGUAUAUGCAUAGCAGACAUACUGUGGGAGAGUGUUUAUUUUAUACAUACAAAUAAAAUAUUCGGUACCAAUUAAUAAAGGGGAAAAAGCAUAUGGCAUUUUGAAAAUGUAUAUAAAAAAGGCUUCAAAAUGAAAAGUCCUUUACUUACCUGUCAGCAGUUAUUUGUUGAAGUGUAGUCUGUGAAAACAAUCCCCUCAGACUGCUUUAGUUUUAUGUUGAGUUCUCCAUGUAGGCACAUGCACGCGCCCACACACACAAACACACACAUGUUUAAGGAGAAAAUUUGGUGUUUGCUGUGCACAUUCUUUAUGCUACAGCCCUUUUUCUUAGAAAUGUCAGAAAACUUGGCUCAUGCAGAGAUGGAGUUUGUUAGACAAUCUAAAGAACAACAUAAGGUAAAUAUCCAUCUUGCAUGUAAGAUUGUGGGUCUGAGCGUUGUCUUUCCUCAUCCUGCACAGAGACCACACAACUGCCCCAGCCAAUACAAACAUGCCCAAGACUCAAGUGUUAGGGUCCUCUGACCUUUUACAUUAAAAGUGCUGUGAGGACAAAUUUUCAACAAUUAAAUGAAAACCAAAGACACAAGCACAGAGGAGACCAGUCCACUGAAAAGCAAAUUAAACUCUUGUUUUCCACACUUUCUAGAGUUCUUUAAAAUGUGUGUACACUGGUAAAUCAGUGAAAUGAGAAUGGCCACAAUGUAAUGUGUAUUUCAAGGACGUUUUUUUAAAUAUUUUUGUUUAUUUCUGCUGCCUAGCCCAAGUCAAAACAUUCUAUCGUACAUCACUGAAGAUGAUAUCAGUCACUGAACCAGGCACGCUACUGUGUCGAACCCAGAGAAUUUUUUUUUUAAAACCCCCAGAGGCGCCUCUGUCAUACACCCAGCCCUGCAGGUUAUUUGCAUGGUGCAAAAAUAAUGUUCAUGUGUCCAGCAGUUAUCAAUACAGAUCAUUAUGUGGCUGAGACAAGGCCGCUUAUUUUCCAAACAGAUCCAGGCCAAAGGUAGAACCGCCGCUCCACUGGCUUUAAGAGAACCAAAUCCAAGCACUACCAGAUGGACAUGUAUGAACAACAGAGCUCUGACAGGCAUAGACCACUGUAUGGCUAUAACAUAACUUGAAUUAUAUAAAAGCUAUGAGUGCUGUAUGUACUCCGAGGUCAGCACUAGCAAUUGGGAGCAGACAGUGUCGCUGCAAUUUUGCGUCUCAGAGAAAGCUCCUCUCCCACAACCUGAGGAACAUUAUACAUGAUUCGUGCAGACUUUGACUUAAUCAAGUGCAAGUUGUGAAAAUCAUUUGCCAUUUUCAGUGUUUCAGUAGCUAUACGGGCCCCUCCACAACCGCUGCUCCCUCCUUCGCCUCCCUUUGUUCUCUCCAGCUCUAAUAGGUUUUCCCCUGCCACACACAAUUCACUUUUUUUCCCUCCCCAGCUCCCCUUCCCUACGCCCCCUUUUAGUGCAGUGCCCAGUGUCGACUGGAGCAUUUGAGCAAUUUGAAAUUAAAGCAAACAAUGGGCAGGCACUCCCAGGGACCUCUCGCUCACCAUAUUACACGGAGGACGCUCGUGUGCUCUUGCGCAUUAUUGGCAAGUCAUUACGUUUCUCUGGAAACCAAGAGCGGGAGCUCGCUCAGAGGAAUCGGUGAUGCAAGCAGCAGCUGAGUGCUUGGAAUUGUGUGUGUGUGUGUUCAGGAACAUCCUUGGCAACAGCAUGGGGAUGCUGUCAAAACAAAACUGUAUAUUGACAGCUCUGAUUAAGGCUCCUCAAGGCCAAUUAAAUACAUAUUUUUGAAAAUAAAUGUAGUCAUUGUACAAUGCAAAAUUGUGUUGGUGGCUCCACACUCAUUAGGCCUUUUACCUUUUAUAGUCUUCUGCCAUUUUGAAUCAUAAUGAAAUGCCAAUGUUCCAGCCCAAGCUGUUUGAAGUUUAUUUGUCAGUAAAAAAGCAAACAAUAAGUCUAACAAACAAAUUAUAUAGCUGUCAUUGACUUUAAAGCUGUAAAACUGUAAAUAAAGAGAAGUUGCUUUUGUAUUUGUCUGCUUUAACACAUCAUUAAUGUCAUGGUUUUAUCAUCUUGUCAUAGUCAUGUUGUUGCUUUGAAUGAGUUUGAUGCAUCAAAAGACCUACAACUGUGACUUCUAAAGAUGGACGACUGGAUGUAUACCAACAUGAUGACAUAUGAAAAACAUCCUGUGUAACAAGAGAAUAAUAUUAAGCCUGGGGCAUUAUUACGAACAUACGCAGUCUAGUGUGACAUUGCAACAAAGGGCCUUUUAAAUGUAGGAAGAUUUCAAAUAAAAAGGGAACAAAAACCCAACUGUUCAGAAGUGAUAAGAACAACUUGUUUUAUUGAUUAGAAAGGCAAACCUACAAUGAUGUCUCCCAGGCCUCUGUGUCUUCUUCUUCCUUUACUUCAGGUUAUUAUGCUGCAACGCAUGUUGCAUUUUAUGUUUUUUUAACUUUGUAAUGCAUUAGCCCGCACUAAUGAGUGGCUUGGUUUAUUUUCUUUCAUGUAUGAAAUUAAUUUGGUUGUUUGGUCUAUUUGAACUAUAUGAACCCCCCAAAUAUUUACUGAAAACUAUUUUAUUCUCAUGACUUAUUCUUCUGCCAUUUAGUUCCUUGAUUAAUGAUUUACUUGUUAAUCUGUGAAAUCCGUCCAGUGUCAAAAGGGAUAACAUAAAAGUGAACAAUGCUGGUCCAAAUUUCAAAGAUGAAAAAUUGACCUACUCACAUGAUAUUUAAUCCAAUAUUCAAAUGAAAACAAUAUAAAGUGAAAAAGACCAGAUAUUCCUACUUGAGAAGCUAUCCGUGCCAAACGCUUCCUGUUACACUGUCUAAGUUUUGUUAACAUUGUAAAUAUUUCAGUGUCUUAGGGUUCCUUGUGUUUGUAUUGUAUUCUUUACUUUAUUUUACUUUAAACAAGUGUGUAUCACUAUUCCCUCUUUUUUGGUGUAACACAGUUGAUUACGGAAUUUUCGAAUAAUUAAAGGUUUAAUAGACUAAUGA